GAUGAACGCUAGCUACAGGCUUAACACAUGCAAGUCGAGGGGAAACGGCAUUGAGUGCUUGCACUCUUUGGACGUCGACCGGCGCACGGGUGAGUAACGCGUAUCCAACCUUCCCAUUACUGUGGGAUAACCUGCCGAAAGGCAGACUAAUACCGCAUAGUCUUCGAUGACGGCAUCAGAUUUGAAGUAAAGAUUUAUCGGUAAUGGAUGGGGAUGCGUCUGAUUAGCUUGUUGGCGGGGUAACGGCCCACCAAGGCGACGAUCAGUAGGGGUUCUGAGAGGAAGGUCCCCCACAUUGGAACUGAGACACGGUCCAAACUCCUACGGGAGGCAGCAGUGAGGAAUAUUGGUCAAUGGACGGAAGUCUGAACCAGCCAAGUAGCGUGCAGGAUGACGGCCCUAUGGGUGGUAAACUGCUUUUGUAUGGGGAUAAAGUUAGGGACGUGUCCCUAUUUGCAGGUACCAUACGAAUAAGGACCGGCUAAUUCCGUG
rnacentral:rRNA from 1 species